UACUGCGAAGGGGGGACGGAGAAGGCUAUGUUGGCCGGGCGACGGUUGUCCCGGUUUAAGCGUGUAGGCUGGUUUUCCAGGCAAAUCCGGAAAAUCAAGGCUGAGGCGUGAUGACGAGGCACUACGGUGCUGAAGCAACAAAUGCCCUGCUUCCAGGAAAAGCCUCUAAGCAUCAGGUAACAUCAAAUCGUACCCCAAACCGACACAGGUGGUCAGGUAGAGAAUACCAAGGCGCUUGAGAGAACUCGGGUGAAGGAACUAGGCAAAAUGGUGCCGUAACUUCGGGAGAAGGCACGCUGAUAUGUAGGUGAAGUCCCUCGCGGAUGGAGCUGAAAUCAGUCGAAGAUACCAGCUGGCUGCAACUGUUUAUUAAAAACACAGCACUGUGCAAACACGAAAGUGGACGUAUACGGUGUGACGCCUGCCCGGUGCCGGAAGGUUAAUUGAUGGGGUCAGCGCAAGCGAAGCUCUUGAUCGAAGCCCCGGUAAACGGCGGCCGUAACUAUAACGGUCCUAAGGUAGCGAAAUUCCUUGUCGGGUAAGUUCCGACCUGCACGAAUGGCGUAAUGAUGGCCAGGCUGUCUCCACCCGAGACUCAGUGAAAUUGAACUCGCUGUGAAGAUGCAGUGUACCCGCGGCAAGACGGAAAGACCCCGUGAACCUUUACUAUAGCUUGACACUGAACAUUGAGCCUUGAUGUGUAGGAUAGGUGGGAGGCUUUGAAGUGUGGACGCCAGUCUGCAUGGAGCCGACCUUGAAAUACCACCCUUUAAUGUUUGAUGUUCUAACGUGGACCCGUGAUCCGGGUUGCGGACAGUGUCUGGUGGGUAGUUUGACUGGGGCGGUCUCCUCCUAAAGAGUAACGGAGGAGCACGAAGGUUGGCUAAUCCUGGUCGGACAUCAGGAGGUUAGUGCAAUGGCAUAAGCCAGCUUGACUGCGAGCGUGACGGCGCGAGCAGGUGCGAAAGCAGGUCAUAGUGAUCCGGUGGUUCUGAAUGGAAGGGCCAUCGCUCAACGGAUAAAAGGUACUCCGGGGAUAACAGGCUGAUACCGCCCAAGAGUUCAUAUCGACGGCGGUGUUUGGCACCUCGAUGUCGGCUCAUCACAUCCUGGGGCUGAAGUAGGUCCCAAGGGUAUGGCUGUUCGCCAUUUAAAGUGGUACGCGAGCUGGGUUUAGAACGUCGUGAGACAGUUCGGUCCCUAUCUGCCGUGGGCGCUGGAGAACUGAGGGGGGCUGCUCCUAGUACGAGAGGACCGGAGUGGACGCAUCACUGGUGUUCGGGUUGUCAUGCCAAUGGCACUGCCCGGUAGCUAAAUGCGGAAGAGAUAAGUGCUGAAAGCAUCUAAGCACGAAACUUGCCCCGAGAUGAGUUCUCCCUGACCCUUUAAGGGUCCUGAAGGAACGUUGAAGACGACGACGUUGAUAGGCCGGGUGUGUAAGCGCAGCGAUGCGUUGAGCUAACCGGUACUAAUGAACCGUGAGGCUUAACCUU
rnacentral:rRNA from 2 species